CGUUCACCUCCUCCAGCGGCAGGAUGUGAGCCACCGGCAAGGAGGGAUGCCAAUAAGGCAUCUGAUAAGUCUCUUUAGUAUGAUGUGAAUCUCCAAAACACAAUAAAAUCGCCAAAAACAGAGGACAGGAAACAUUAAAAAUACAGAAAAAGAGAAUUACGUGUGAAGAUAGAGAGUAUGCAGAAGCUUUGUGCACUAUUUGUGUAAAUAUUAAAAAUGUAAGUUCAUUGUGGGAUCAAUAUUUCGCUUCUUAAAUAAUUUAAAAUGGGGAUUGUGUAUAAUGCAGUUCCUUACUUCCAGGUAUAGGUAAAAGAUAUCUAAGGAGAUGGCCAUGAAGAAAUGUAUAGCCAUAAUUAAAGCAGCAAGAUUCAUAAUAGUCUAUACAUAACACCAACCCCAGUAUCAUCAAUGAUAAAUGGACAUGCAAAACAACUGUUAAAGAUAAGGGAAAGUAUUCAGUCUUAAAAUAAAAAAAAAAAAAAAAACACUUAAUCCUGCUAUAGCAUGGAUGGAAUUUGUAGAGAGUAUUCUAGUAAAAUAAGCCUGGCAUAAAACAACAAAUAUAUGAUUUCAUCUGCAUAUAGUAGCUAGACUACUCGGAUUCAUAAAACACAAAAGCAGUACCAUGUUUGGCAGAGGCUUGGGAGGGGAAAAAUGAAGAAUCAUGGUUUAAUGAAGAUGGAGAUUUAGCUUUUUAAACCCAAAAGAAUUUUGUAGCCAGAUGGUGACCAUGCUUCCAUAGACAUAUAGUAUCUUUAAUAUUGCUGACAUACACCCUUAAAAUGAUUUAGAGUAAACUUGUUUCUUUUGAUAUAAGCUUAGUUUAAAAUAACCAUCACAUAACCAUAAAGUGAGAGCAUUGCACAUAGUCGUGUACUGUCUGACUCUUGAGAUGAAAACAUUCAAUUAUUCUUGACACUGUUAAGCCUCCCAAAGCACAUCUCCUAGUCUCUAGGAAAACUUUGCAGGACCUAUUUUUGUAGGAUAAUGUGCAUUUAAUUAGAAAAGACUUUAUCUUAGACUACAGGGCAGCAUCUUGUACAGGUGUCUUCAGGUUGGCUUGUACACCAUGAGAACAUCAUUUUGGGAAAGCUAAGCCAGCCUCUUAUAAUGUGUCAGUGGUCCCCACCUUUCCUCCUUCAGUACACCUACCUCACUCUUUUCGUGUCUCCAUCCUUACAUAUCUAAAUAUCUCCUUGUUUUCCUUUUGCUUAGAAUAUAAAUCUUUGGACGAUAGGCAGCAAUGGGAAUGCUGAUAACGUCCAGGGGAAGCUGGAAAAGGGAAGGACAAUAGGUGAACAUUCUAUCCCUCAUCACUGUCUCUUUAGCACUACGAAGUGAUGUCUAAUUUGAAGAGGCAGAUUUCCUAAUCAGCUACGAUAAAAUAUGUUAGAAGUUCGGCGUUCACAAUUAACCAUGGUGCGUGACUUUCCUUGAUUUUCAAUUUGAAAUUUGCUCCUGCAAAUUAUAAUCAGUAUAAAUGGCAAGAACCCUGCCAGAAAAGAUACAUUUAAAUUACUAUCUCUCUAAAAUUCCAAUAAACUAACCUUUUAGUGGAGUGCAUAUAAAACUGUCGCUGAAUUCUGAAAAGUAAUGUCAAAUUUAAUCAACGAAUUGUUCCAAACACUGUUCAAUUUAUUAAGACAUGGAAGUUAUAUGGUUAGCACCUAUCUUAUAUUUUAGAUGCAUCAGAAUCAGAAGGAAAAUAUUCCUUGUUUGCUUGAAUAGAAUGAAAUGGAAAAGUUGCAUGGGGUGUAUGCUUGUAAUCUCAUUACUUGGACAGUUGAGGCAGGAAGAAUUCGAAUUAAGCUAGUCUAGGAAACACAGUGAGGUUUCCUCAAAAUAAAAACAAGGAAAAGAAGGAGGAAAAGGAAGAAGAUGAGGAGAAACAAGGGAGACUUCAGCAGGGACCACAAGAAAUAGAAAGUUUAUAAGAAUUUUUAAGAGUAUUCUUCCAGAUCUUUGGAAAAUAAUAUUUCAAAUUAAAUAGUACUAUAUUUAACUACUAUUUAGUCCAUUCCUCCUGAAUGUUUACAUAUUGUAUGAAUUUAUAGAAUUAAGAAAAUAAUUUUAAAAAUAACAUUCAACAUUUUUCAACUCAGAGAUUACCAGAAAUACAGAAACAAAAUAUAAUCUAUGAUGUAACAAAAACACUAAUAAAUUUAAUACAACCCAGAAAUGAGAAAGUAAUGAUUAACAGGUAUAAAGUCUUUGUAACUGAAUGCCACAUGUCUAAAAUGUCAACAAGAAUAUAGAACAUGUACACAAUUCAAGCUUCCAGGGAUAAAGACUAAAGCAUUUAGUUGAAAUGCAUGAACUUGAUUAGUCUAAUGAUAAGCAACGAAAGAACUAGAAGAAAAUAUCAUUGGACUUGAAGAUAUAAUAGAAGCUAUGUCAAAUAAAUAACAGAAUGUUUUUUAAUUAGGUGAAAGAACUUUACAGAUCUAUGUGACAAUUCAAAUGGUAUAGCUACAUACAUGAAUAUGAAAAACUAUAUGAACAAUUAUAUUAUCAAAUUCAUUAAAGGAAGUAAAUCAUAUGAGAUGAUGGAUUUGAAAAAGAGGGCAUGAAACAGAGAGACAAAUAUGUGGCUGACAUUUGACAUCUCCAAAGCAUCAAAAAAUGUUAUUUGCAGAGCUGGGACCUUAUACAUAGUAAAAUUAUCAUUUUAAAAAUACAAGGUUGAUCAAGUAAAGAGAUUUUUAAGAAAUACAAAACCUGAAAUAAUUCAUCAUCAACACACCAAUGACUCCUAAAGGGGAUAUGCAUGAUGGUAGCCCAAACCCACAACCUUAGCUCUUUGAAGGCUAGGCUACACAGCCUGAAUUUAAUACAGUGAAUAGUUACAUGAAGAUACUGUAGUGAUGACAUUUAAGUUAAUUUUCUACAGUGGUACUUGCAUAUACAUUGGAUUCUAUGAGCUCUUUGUAGAGGUUUCUGUGUGCUCUAUAAUUAAAUUAUGAAGAUUUUAGUCUACUCUGUGGCUUAAGCUAAGCUAGAUGCAACUGAAGGGAAAGUAGGAACUAGAGCUAGUUAUUUAUUUACCGAUGAUGAACUGAAAUCCAUGAAGUGUGUAUAGUGCAUAUUCAAGCAUUAUAAAAUAAUCCUGCAAAACAAUAGUAGUAUGGUACCAGACAGCAAAUGAAAUAGUGUGGCUAUUAUAUACUGAACAUCAAGUUUAGUUUUAUCUAAAGUUGUGUUAAUAGAGGUGGAGAAAUGGAAAGGAACAGAAAACAAAUCAAAAUGAAAAAGCUUGAAAAAUGUUUAACUUUAAACUUUUUCAACAACUUCACAGUUACAAAGAUUGUAGUGAAAACAAAACAAUUAAAUCCACAAUUUCCCUUUAAUGUUAAAUUAACAUUUAAAAAUGAGGGAAAUAGUUUUGUCAAUUUAAAAAUAAAAUCCAUAAGAAUUAAUAUUAUAGCAUAUUAGAUAAUACUAAAAUAUAUACAGGUACUUAUUUAAUGAAUGUGUUAAGAUAUAAAUUCAACCAAUAAAUUCUUUUUAAAGAUAAUUUAAGUGAGUGUGUGUGUGUGUGUGUGUGUGUGUGUGUGUGUGUGUGUGUGUGUGCCUGCAUGAGUUGUAUACCAUGUACAUACAGAUGCUAGCUCCACCCAGAAGAGGGUAUUAUAUUCCAUGUAGCUGGAAUUAUAGAAAGAUGAGAAACACCAAAUCAGUGUAUUAGGAACUAAACCCAGUCCUCUGUGAGACUCUCAAACAGCUCAAUUCAUUGUAAGUUGAAGUAAAAUGAAGAACAAAAUUUAUGUUUUUGAUGUUUCAGUUCAUUGAAAGAAAUAUCACAAGAAAAUCGCAUCUUAAAUCGUUCUUACAUAUACUUCAGUGUAACUAACUUAAUAAGAAAAAAUAUAAUGUUCACACAAGUUAGUGUGAUCCAAUGUAUUCACUGUGAAGCACACACUGUUCAAAAUGUCACCCUAACUGACUGCUGAGAGAAUACCCAUUUCUGUUUAUGUCAGAGGCAACAACCAUCCAGAAAAAUGAUUUUAAGUAUAUCAUAACUAUCACAAAGUGUGCUAAUUUAUUUUCAGUUUUCAUACUUGGAGAGAAUUGCUAACCACUCUAUAAAAGGAUUAAACAUCAUGUCACUUGAAAAUGUUACAUUGAUAGAAAUAGAAUUCAGAUGUAUGUAGCAUUUAAGGAUACCUUCUGAAACAUUUAGUUCAAAUCUGUAGACCAAUCCCACUUACUAAGGUCCCUAGUGUUACAGAUGAAGGGUCAGCUGAAUUACAAUCCUCUUGGGAAGAUUAAUACUAUCUCCAAAGUGUUACGUAAGUAAUGGGUAUGUAGCUUAGUGACAGAGUACUUGCAUAGUACCUGCAUGGCCCUGGGUACUACUCCCAGCAUCUCAAAAUAAUGUGUUGUCUUAAGUUUAAUUGUAAUUUCCUUGAGCCUUAUCCACACUCUAUAGAUUUUUAUUGAUAUUUAUAAGCUAACAGUAUCCUUUAUUAGAAUAAGAACAAACAUAUCAAAACAUCAAUUAUAAAGGAAGCAUAAACUUCUUUAUUCUCAACUGUUAUGCUCUUCCUUUGACUGAUUAGAAAGUUUUGGAAAGUUCUUGUAAAUAUUUAAAGGGAUUGCUUAAACCUAGCUUCCAAGAGUAAGUCUCCCUAUAUGUGGAGGCAGAACAGACACUUCAGUCCAUAAGAGACAAGACUGCUAUGACUGCUGCAAAGCAGGACACUGGGCUGGUCUGAACAGGAUGCUGGAAUACUUGAACACACACAGCUUGGAAGUGAUUGUUCUCCAAGUGAAAGUUGAUUAACAAUGCAACCCCCCUACCACCACAGCCACUUACCCUUGCUCUCUGAGACAAUGUCCACAUUGUGUUGUAAAUUGCUGAAAUCCUGGGCCUAUUGCUCCUUCCUCAUCCUCCUUCCUAAGAAAGUGGUAUUUCUCCACCAGCUAUUGGCCACACCCACUCUUGAUAGGCCCCAACAGCCUUGGACUAGCAAAGCCUACAAUUGAUAGUAAUUUGGACAGGCACAAAUUUGAGAACUGCUGCUUCCAAGCAGGGAACAAAAGAGGAAUAAGCUAAAGUGAGUAGGAUUCUAGAUCAAGAAUUUCAGUGUCACAAAUACUAGCUAGGAACUUGUAAGAGAGCUGGAGGGUGAGUCUCAGUCAGUAAAGCUGUUGAUCUGCAAACAGGACUUCAGCUCAGUCCCAAAAGCCCACAUAGAAUGAUGGGCAUGGAGGUGUGCUUAUCUUCACAGUACAAGUGAGGUACACAAAAGUGAAUCCCUGAUGCUUCCUGCACAGUCAUCGUAGGCUUCCUGGUGAGUUGAGGACAGUGAGAGACCAUAUCUCAUAAUACAAAUAAAUGGAGGCAGUAUCUCUAGAAAAAGACAAAAUGUUGACCUCUGCCUCCACAGAAGUGUACACACACAAAGGAAUCUAUGUACAACAUCCAGACACACUUCUGCCCACAAAGGAACUCUUGAGGAAGUAUAAGAUCAGAUAUCAUCUUUCUUUACCUUUUUCCUAUUUACAAAAUGUAGAUAUGAUGUAUGUAUGUAUUGUUGAAGUUAUUUGGGGUAUACAAAUAAUCGUGAUGUUAUUUUAAUAACAUACUCUGGUAGGUACAAAAUCAUGGCUGUCAAAAGUCAGCUGUUAUGAACAGCAGUAUCUAGAACCAGUAGUUUUCUUAAAUAAGAAAAUAAUUGUGUUGCAUAAACAGUUAACCUUCCCUAAGGAUUCAGUCAAGUUCUCUAUCUCCAGUUCUUUCAGAUCUGUCCUCAAACAGCAAACAUUUGGAAGGUGACUGACACAUCAGUAGGAUGGCAAAUAAUUGAUUCCUUUGUUUAAUUUCUCCAUGUUAAAAUGUUAGCCAUACCUAAGUAAACUCAUCACAAACAUUUCGUGCAAGACCUUUUAAGACUCCAGCUGAAGUGAUGAAAAUAGUGGCAAGAAAAUCUACACAAAGUGAGUUUAGACCAAAACAGUUAAGUGUGUAUGUAUUGCAUCUCAGAGAAUGAGAAGAAGGAUGUUUGAAAUUGUAAGCAUUUAGAGAAAACUGACUCCUGAAGGGAACUUAUUUAUUAAGGGUACACAUUUAUGUUUAAGACUAUCCUAAAGUGUGUUUCUGAAUAGUUUUCUGUUCCCCAGGAGCCCAUAUUUAAAAUGUCUGUGCACUUUAGAUGCUCUAUUAUUUAGACCUAGUUGAAACACAUCCUGUUUUCCUCUUGAAUUUCUUUAAGUCACACUGCGGGCUGUUAAAGCCUCAGUGUAACUCCCUGGGCAGAGAGAGGGGACUUGGAGCUAGAGUUUUCCAAAGGAGCUGUCAUGAUCUGUUGACUCAAUGAUCCGUUAAUGACACCUGAAGGCACACAGCAGAGGCUACCCAGCUUGGAGCUGCUCAGAGAUGGCUGCUGAGGAUACAGGUGCACUGCAAGGAACACCCAAAUCAUCCAUUAAGAUUGCUUUUAUUAGUGGCUUCUGCUUACAAAACAGGGCUCUGGGGGAGCAUGAUUCAGUGUAGCAAAACCCCAACAGCUCAGAAGAGUCACACUGCUAAGGACCAGCUGAAUCUUGUUAUUAAAAGAAAAGAAAGGAAAGAAUAUCGCUGUUUUGACUUUCACAGGUUCAUAUAUCGUGUUUUAAGAACAAUGGUUUCCCCCAUCCACCCUCACUGCUUAUUCUAACCAUAAAAUGUGUUAAAGAAAAUCACUUCUUGGUCUCUUCUCAUAGUAAACUAAGAUAAAUUUUGGUUUGCUGAAAAAGUCAUCGAUACAUAGGCAUAGCUCUAAAAAGAUUAACAAGCUGUCAAUGCAAGCAGUGGUAAUGAGAGAUAAAUUAAAAUGAGAGAUAAAAUAAAAAAUCUUUUAAUUCAGUUGAUAGAGCUCUAUUCAGCUCACAAGGGACAUGGUGCUUAUAUACACUUCUGCCCUAGCUUUAUAAGAGGUUAAACAAAACAGAAUGCUUUUAUCAGUCAUCUAAGGGCUUUAAAAUAAUAUUUCACUCUUAUUUUAGUUGAAGAAUAAUGCUAAUAUAUGCUCAACCAUUCUAACUCAACCUAGGAUUGUGUUUAUGGAAUUGCUCUCCCUGGAAGUGUUGUUAUGUUUGUCUAUUGGAGAACAUUCUUUGUCGCUUCCUUUGGACAAACACUGAUUAAAGUUUACCAGACUAAAGCAACAUGUAAUAGUUAUUUCUUUUUUAAAUUCUGUUUUAAUUUUUUACUAUUUUUACAUUCCAAACCCAGUAUUUCCCCCCACCUCUUAUUCUCCCUCCUCCCUACCUCCUCCCAUUCCAUGUCCUCAUCUACUUCUCAGAGAUGAUAAUGCCUCCCUUGGGGAGUCACUAAAGACUGGGAUACCAAGUUGAAGCAGGACCAAGCCCCUCCCCACGAAUCAAACUGAACAAUUUAUUCCAUUACAAGAUUUGUUUAUCCUGUAUACAAUGUUCUGCCUGCAUGCCAGAAGAAGUCAUCAGAUCUCAUUACAGAUGGUUGUGACCCACAAUGUGGUUGCUGGGAAUCAAACUCAGGACUUGGGGAAGAGUAGCCAGUGCCCUUGACUUCUAUGCCAUCUCUUCAUACCUACCACUGAGAUUUUAACUAUUUUCCCUUCCUGGUGCCCUCCAUUUAUUUCUCUCUUAGGGUCCUCAUUUUUACCUAGAUCUCCCACGUUCUUGGAGAACUAAGAUCAACAUACUAAAAUGCAAUCUACAGGUUCAAUGAAAUCUCCAUCAAAAUUCCAGCACAAUUCUUCACAGACCUCUAACAAACAAUGUUCAACUUCAUAUGGAAAAACAAACAAAAAAAAAAAAAAACAGGAUAACCAAAACAAUAUAAUAAAGGAACUUCUCGAGGCAUCACCAUCACUGACUUCAAACUCUACAAUAGAGCUAUAGUAAUGAAAACAGCUUGCUAUUGGCGUAAAAACAGACACGUGGAUCAAUAGAAUUAAAUUGAAGACCCCGACAUUAGUCGACAUACCUAUCAUACCUAUGAACACCCAGUUUUUGACAAAGAAGCCAAAGCUGUACAAUGGAAAAAAAAACCAUCUUUAACAAAUGGUACUGGCAUAACUGGAAGUCCACCUGAAGAAGAAUGCUUGUUAUUUCUUAUACACAUCGGCUUGGCAUUUUACCAUUCCUUAUUCCCUGCCUGAAUUGCUCUUGCUCAUUUAAAAUUACAUGGACUGUCGAUGUAAUUUUAUUAAGUUGCAUGUGGGAAUCUCCUAACAAACUAAAAUGAAUUUAUACCAUAGAUUUAAUUUAGUUUAUUAAAGAGAGACCAACUAAGAUGGUGAAACUUAAUUGACCCAGUAUUUAUAGAACCAAAAGAUGUCUAGGUGUUGAAGUGGUGAUGACAGAAUAAAGGAUGCACUCCAAAACAGGAACUCUGACCAGAUAAAGCAUUCUACAAGUUAACAUGGAAUGUUUGCUCCUGGUGUAUAAAUAAAAGUAGAUAGCAUCUCAAGAGAAGUUGCUUAUUCCAGGAGAAUGAAAUAAUGCACAAUUUGUAGGGUCCACUGCUGAUUUCGCAGAAUAACACACUGUAGGGACACACAGUCAUCAUUUUGCUUAUUUCUUAUCCAUCUGUCAAGGUCAAUUUCCAUGCACUCUCCACUGAAGUCUUUAUAUGCCCCCAGCUGGAAGUCAUUUCUUCAGCCAAGGAGAGCUGGUAGCACAUGUAAUAUGUUUCAAUAUGAAGUUGGUGAGUGAAUAAUUGUAUUCUGCCACUCUGGGGGCAUAUCACUCCUUGAGCAGAAAUGGCUAAUUAAGAACAUAAUUAAAUUUUAAAUUAUAGCUGGAGAAAUUACACUGCAUAAGAGAGAUAAAUUAAGAUACAUAAUGGUGCAGUUACCAGGUAUAUGUUCUUAAAAUGAGUAAAUGUGCUGUGAGAAAUAAUUGAUUUACAAAGUAUGCUUCCUUUCGACUUUAUAUUCCUCUUUUAAUCCUGAUGCUCUUUCUUUAGACUCCACAUAGUGCAGUAUUGUCUCUGCAAACACUUUUCAUGCUGCUAUUGUUCAGCAGAACUGGAACAUCAUCUCUAAAAUUGCCAUUUGAUCACUAUCCUCAUCAGACCAUGCAUUGCCUCUCUCAAAUGAAAGCAUGGGACUUUAUGGAUUCUAAGGAAGAGUUUUGUGACUUUCCAUGCAAUUAUUCCCAUGUAGAAAAAUGUAACAUUACUUUUAAAUUGGCUGAGCAUGUUGUAUGUUUUUAUCUUGUAGAAUAUGAUGCUUUGAACUGCAUGCAUAUUACAGAGUAGAUACAUACAGCCUAUUUAUGUAUUUAUUCUCACUGUUACAAAUUUUUUAUCAGAAUACCUAAUGCUCACUUUGAAUUUCCUUCCCCCAAAACACCACACUUUGUCAUCUCUAGCUCUGGUCAACUUUCUUCAUAAUGAAUGUCUUGAACUCUUUUCUUCUUAGUGUAGAAUGAUGCUGAACUGAAUAUAAGGCAUUUUCUGUGUCUAUUGACAUGGCUAUAUUAUUCUUACUCUUUAUCUGUUAAUGUGAUAUAUCUUAAGAAUUGACUUGCCUAUGUUGAAGUCUGCUGUAAUCCUUGAAAUAAAACCUACAUGUUAAUGGUUAA
ensembl:lncRNA